rnacentral:lncRNA from 1 species
UUUUUUUUUUUUUGUUUUUUUUUUGGUUAGGUUAGAAAGCGGUCCUGCUCCCUCAGCCAGAUUUACCUAAACUUGUUUCAGCCUUCCAGUUGCUGGGACAGACUCUUUCUGGGAGCCUGAAGAGGAUGCGGUAUCUGCUACAUUAUUUCAAAGUCACUUGCAGCUGUGUUUACCGUCUUUAAGUUUACUUAAUAGUAGCAAAAUUCUUUUGUGACUGAUUUUUACUGAUUGAGGAAAGGAAAAUUGUGGACCCCGACUUUAAAAGACACACACAAGAUGUGCUUUUUAGUGGAUUUACUACGGGUAGAAGAAAAAGUGGCAGCUUAUUUUUUAAAAAGCCCAAAACUAGGAAAGAGGGGACUAUAGGUUUGAAAAACUUGCUUCUCUUAAGAGAAGACUGUCCAAGCAAGUUGUAGAUUCCUUGCCAAUUAAAGAGCGGGCCUGACCCUGGCUCUGGUCAUCAGGUGAUAAUAGCUGGAGGUCCCUCUCCACUUGAAAUUAGGAGCUCUGGCCUGUGGUUAGUGUUGAUGCUUUGAGACUCAGUUGCCACAGCAAGCCCAGGUAUCCCAUUUAGCUACAUGACACACCGCGCUAGCCUGUUAGAGGAGCUCUGAGAAGCAGACCCGGUGCUGAGUUGGUAGUGGGCGUGUUUCCUGUGGAGUUGUUCUCUCCACCACGUGAAAGCCCCCUGCACACCUUACCAGCCUGCUAGACAACCAGACAACCAGACAGCCUGUGGCUGAGGUUCCUGUGUCGUGGCGCUGAUGUGAGAAGUUGUCUUUACUGUGGAUUAGGAACUGACCCGAGGCGCAGAUCAAGUGGCAGAGAGGAAGAUGAAGAGGAGCUUUUGAGACGCCGGCAGCUUCAAGAAGAACAGUUGAUGAAGGUUUGUCCAUGAGGCUGCCCUCAAUUCUACUUCCUUUUGACUCCUGGCAUUUGCUUGUUGUAUAUAACUACCGUGUGCACACCACCAAGGGAAGGUGGUGGUCCCAGGCCUCAAGAGCCUCAAGGGUCCAGUAGGAAAGACAUGGCAGGCAGCCAGUGGGGUAAGGGUGAGGCUGGAGAGGGUCAUAGGAUGUAGGGAGCAGUUUUGGGGUAGUUGUGCAGGUGGCCUGAUUGGGUUGAAAGGAUGUAAAGGGGAUCCUGCAGGCCAGGGUGGUAUAUACUUAGGGGCAUGCAGGUCUUGCUAGAGGGACUUCCUUGGGGUGAUAUUGGUCCAAACCUCCUCAGAACUUGGUCAGAAUUUAUAUCUGGAAUGAGAGAAAGGGUAUCCAUUGGUUUGCCACUGAGCGCUCUAUCGAUUUCUAAACACUGACCAAUAAGGGGCUAAUGGAUCCCUUCAAAUGGUGUCCUCCAGAGGUGCAAGAAAUGCACGUGGUGUUAAGUGCACAGGGCAGAGGAUGCAGAACGCAAGCCUGGCGUGUGUAAAAUGUGUAUAGGACAGUGAGCAAAGGUUAUAAAUCAAAAUGCAUGGGGUGGGGACUCCUUGUGGGGAGGUCACGGUUUCUUUCCUUAUAGAUUUCUAAAAUAUGUGUGAGUGUAUAUUUUUUUUUAUGGUUUUUAAGGCAAACAAUGAAAUUUCUUGUUUAGGGAUGCCCAAUCUACAACAAUCUCUAUCUCCUAUUAAAACAAACAAAAAACCCAAAGAAAACAAAAACCAAAACCAUCAAAUUCACACAUGCUGAGGUGUUUAGGGGAGGGCGGAAGAAGAAACGUGACCUUUUAACGUGAAGCCUAGCACUGGAAAGCUAACAGGGCUUCAGAGUCUAGAGCCUGUCCUACCUCUUCAGGAACCACAGGCUCUGAGCAGGAAAAACAAUAGUUUAUGACUGACCCUUGUUUCUUUCCUUUUCCCUUCCUGCAAAUAGCUCAACUCAGGCCUGGGGCAGCUGAUCCUGAAGGAAGAGAUGGAGAAGGAGAGCAGAGAAAGAGCAUCGCUGGCCAGUCGCUAUGACUCUCCCCUCCACUCAGGUGAGCAGCACCCGUCCCCCACCCUCUGCGAUUUAAGGGUGAGCCAAGCCACCUGCCUGCAAAAAGAUAGAAGCGCAGGCUGGAUUGUUACCCAGGAGACAGGACCAGUUUGUGAGCUCUUCAAAUACCUUGUGUCCCUUCUGAGUGUGAGACUCUGUUCUCUGUGAGUAUGUAAUGCUACAAUUACACAGGUCAAUAAUCAGCUUAAAAUAGAUUGCCCUGUCCAGAGGUACAGAUAUAUUAAGCUAUAGGCGGUCUGCUCUCUCCAUAGCCAACCCUCCUUUCAGACAGAUGCAAUUCUGUAGCCCUGGCCUUCCAGGAGCCCAGCCCUGUACCAUUGUGGUAUCUUACUCUGUUGGCUUCUGGGCUGGAUUGCAGCACCCACAUAUCCCUAGGUUCAAAUCCUGCUCUGCAUCUUUUGUUAGCUCCUAUUAUUUUGUCUCCUAUAACAUGGAAAUAAUGGUGUCCUUAGGACUGAGGAUUCAAAAGAAGGCACACUCGGCUUAUAGCUGUGGUGGGGAGUCACAGCUGGACCGUUAUGUCCUUCCUCCUCCAGCCUCUCCUAAAGAUGAUCACACCCCACCCCACCCCCGCUCUCUUCCCAAGAAGGCAGUGUGCUGUGAACACUGGGACCCAAUAUCGUUUGAAUUCUUUUUCCUGACUUUUAAUUAUAUGAGAUCACUAGCAGUCUCGCUAGAGCACUAAAAAAAUACUCUUCCUUUCUUCUCACUCAGCUUCCCAUGCUCCAUCAUCUAAAACUUCAUCUCUCCCUGGUUAUGGAAAGAAUGGCCUUCACCGGGUAAGACCUCCUUCAGUCGACGGUGUCUGUAUGUCUCUCUCCCUCAUUUCUGUACUGACACAUCAUCAGAAUAAUCUUUCUUAGGUAUUUUUAUUUUUGUUACAUUUUUAUUUACUUCGUAUGCAUGCCAUGCGCACGCGCACACACGCGUGCACAUGAGCACAUGCAUGACGUCACAUGUAUAGAGAUCAGAAGGCAACUUGCGGGAACCGGUUUUCUCGCUCCACCAUGUAAAUCCUGCAAAUUAAACUCAGACUCAUGAGGCUUGAGCAGGUACCUUUAUGCACUAGACAUCCUACCGACCCCUGAAUGGUCUCUUCAUCUUGGUGUUCGAAUACAAGGCAAAUUGCCAUCUGCCUGGCCACUUGGUGAAUCACUUUGAGUUAUAAGCAAAAUGAAAUACUUCUUUUCAAGGGGAGGAAACUGACUUUAGAUGGAUGAUCUGUGUAAGUUUUACAGACUACAGUAAGACAUAGCAGGCAAUUUCUUCCAGUAAGGCAAAAAGUUAUCACUUGAUUCAUUAUCUCUAUAAAGAGAGUCGGUGACAACCACCUUCCCCCACCAAGCUAGAAUAAUUACAAUUAUAUAACUAGGCCUAGAAAUACAUUUGGUGGUAAUGAGGUAGGGGUGUCUCUCUAGUCCUGAGGCUGUUCUGGAACUUACUGUGUAGACUACAGCGGUCUCAAACUCACAGAGAUAAGCUGGGAUCAGAGGUGUGCAUCACCAUGUCCCGCCUGCCUUUAGAAAUACAUGUUUAUCUCUGAACAAGAAAUACUUGCUCUCUAAAAGCCUGCUGGACAGUAGUACCACAGAUGCCUGCAAAACACUGGGACUUCAAAGUUUGAGGAAUAAAUAAGAUAAAUAAGAGUAUCC